rnacentral:rRNA from 1 species
AGUGAACGCUGGCGGUAGGCCUAACACAUGCAAGUCGAACGGCAGCACAGUAUGAGCUUGCUCUUACGGGUGGCGAGUGGCGGACGGGUGAGGAAUACAUCGGAAUCUACUUUUUCGUGGGGGAUAACGUAGGGAAACUUACGCUAAUACCGCAUACGACCUACGGGUGAAAGCAGGGGAUCUUCGGACCUUGCGCGAUUGAAUGAGCCGGUGUCGGAUUAGCUGGUUGGCGGGGUAAAGGCCCACCAAGGCGACGAUCCGUAGCUGGUCUGAGAGGAUGAUCAGCAACACUGAAACUGAGACACGGUCCAGACUCCUACGGGAGGCAGAAGUGGGAAUAUUGGACAAUGGGCGCAAGCCUGAUCCAGCCAUACCGCGUGGGUGAAGAAGGCCUUCGGGUUGUAAAGCCCUUUUGUUGGGAAAGAAAAGCAGCAGGUUAAUACCCCGCUGUUCUGACGGUACCCAAAGAAUAAGCACCGGCUAACUUCGUG